rnacentral:rRNA from 1 species
AUGAGCUUGCCUUUCGGCGUAGGCUCUUUGGGGAGCUUGUGGAUCAAUGGAAGUGGAUUGGAUGAAGCAAAGAAAAAAGCGCUGAAUGACGAACCAGAUUCAGUAUCCUGGUCUUUGAGUAGAAAAGGAAAAUUCACCACAAAAUCUGUGUAUGACUGGUUGGAAAGAGAUCUAUCUGGCCCUAGUUACAAAUGGGUGUGGAAAGCUAAUAUCCCCUUGAAAAUCAAGAUUUUUCUGUGGCAGUUGUUUCAAAAUGCAGUUCCUACGUGUGAUAACAUGCGCUGUAGGAAUUGGCCUGGAAACCCUGUGUGUUCUUUCUGCAAUAACAUAAAAACUGCCAACCAUCUCUUUUUCUCUUACCCGCUUGCUCGAACUGUCUGGGGUACACUGGGAUUGACAGUUGGGGUUUCCCAUUGUCCCCGGUCGCUAUGGCAAAGCUUGGCUUGGUUAUACAAAAUCUUCCCGGGAGGGGAUAAAUUCUAUAUGAUGAUUAUUGCAGGCAUUUGCUGGGGGAUUUGGUGCCUUCGUAACAAAGUUACUUUUGAUAAUCAUGAUGCUCGAACUCCUUUGGAGGCUGUUUUAACCGCUUGUUCUUUUAUGCUAUACUGGGCAGGGCUUCUUAAGGAGGACGACAGGACAAAGUUCAAGGCUGGUGUGAAGAGGUUGGUGCAUGUGGCAACUGCUUUGGCGGAUAGAUCAUUCUCGCGAGGCAGGCUUCUUCUGGGAGAUGGUGAUGGUAUUCAGAUCGGCUAG